rnacentral:sRNA from 1 species
UUCCAUUGAGAUUACUGUAAUAAUAAGAAAAUUAAUAUAAUAAAUUCGUAUAUUCGCAAUAAAUGCAGAAAAGCACCAGAAUCCAAUAUAUUUCCAUGACUAUUCCCGUUAAAAGACUUGAAUCGGACUGAAUGCAAGACGAAGACUCAAGUCUUCUUAUAUAUCAAUGCUUAUCAAUCAAUGCCAUAAAUCAUGCAAUAUCAGACUUGGCCUCG